UUUAUUGAGAGUUUGAUCCUAGCUCAGGAUGAACGCUGGCGGCGUGGUUAAGGCAUGCAAGUCGAACGAGUCAAUUUGUGAUUAUAUCAAUGAUUGACGAGUGGCAAACGGGUGAGUAACACAUUGGUAACCUACCUUUAAGACGGGCAUAACAUUGAGAAAUCAGUGCUAAUUCCCGAUGGCGAUGAGGGGACGAAAGUCAUUCUCAUCUAAAGAUCCAAAAGAUCGCUUGAAGAGGGGCCUAUGGUCUAUCAGCUAGUUGGUAAGGUAACGGCUUACCAAGGCUAUGACGGAUAGCGGGUGUGAGAGCACGACCCGCCUCACUGGGACUGAGACACUGCCCAGACUCCUACGGGAGGCUGCAGUCACGAAUCUUCCUCAAUGGCCGAAAGGCUGAAGGAGCGACGCCGCGUGUAGGAUGAAGGUCUUCGGAUUGUAAACUACUUUUGCAGGGGACGAAUCUUGACGGUACCCUGCGAAUAAGAGGUUGCUAACUCUGUGCCAGCAGCAGCGGUAAUACAGAGACCUCGAGCGUUAUCCGGAUUUAUUGGGCGUAAAGCGUCCGCAGGUGGU
rfam:Parcubacteria (Magasanikbacteria) bacterium GW2011_GWC2_41_17 TT49_C0008, whole genome shotgun sequence.